rnacentral:pre_miRNA from 1 species
AUCACUGGAGAUCUUGUUAUGCAGAUUCUGAUUCAGUGGCCCAGGAUUCUACAUUUCUAACAAGCUUCCAGGUGAUGCCAA